GUUAGUUAUUAUUUUAUAGGAUAUCCAGAAAGAUCAAAGAGUUUUAGAUUUUCUUAUACAUCGCACACUACUAGAAUUAUUGAAACUGAAAUAGCUAGGUUUAUUAAGGAUGGAGAAAAUAGUAAGAGUGGUGAGCCACAUAAUGUGGUGUUAGAGGAAAUAAGAUAAUCUUUUUCUAUUACAGUAACACCUAAAGAUAUUCCAUAUGAACUUGUUCGAUCUG
rnacentral:lncRNA from 1 species